AGUCCUCCCUCAUCCGCAGUUUCGUUACUUCCGACAGGACGCAGACGAUUCUCCUGACGAAUCAUCAGAGGGUCAACAGUAGCCUAGCGCUGCGUCACAGUGCCUGCGUCAUUUUCUUCGCUUCAUCUCAUCACAUAGGUAUUUUACCGUCUCACAUCGUCAUAAGAAAAGGGGAGAUGCAGCAAAAGCUCAUACUGUCUGUAUAAUGCUUCCACAAGCACAAGUGCUUGGCGCUGCUGAUUCUGCUGGGCUUGAGCUAACGUUGAAGAGCAUUUAAACAAACAUUGUGUCACUUCCUAAUGGCCACCAUAGACUCAGGUAAGCUGUCAUUUUUUUUUUGACUCAUUUUAAGAUAUUUUCUUUGCUUUAGUUUCAGAAGUUUAAUUAUGAUGUGUCUUGAUGUGGAUUUCCUCAACUUCAUGAAUCUGUAGGUUUGUUUCUUUUGCCAAAUUUGAGAUAUUUUCAGACUUUAUUUCUGUACUUUUUCAUCUCUUAUAUCUUUUGCUGCUCAAUGGGACUCCAAGGAUAAGAAUGUUGGAUCUUGUGUUAUUGUCUCACAAAUCCCUGAAGAUGUGCUCAUUUUUGUUGUUGUUGUUGUUUAGCCUAUAUUCUCUGUUGUUCAGAUUGGCUGAGUCCUAUUGUUCUGCCCUCAAACUCAGAUCUAUCUGCCAUCAUCUCCACUUUACU